rnacentral:rRNA from 1 species
UUAAGCGACUAAGCGUACACGGUGGAUGCCCUGGCAGUCAGAGGCGAUGAAGGACGUGCUAAUCUGCGAUAAGCGUCGGUAAGGUGAUAUGAACCGUUAUAACCGGCGAUUUCCGAAUGGGGAAACCCAGUGUGUUUCGACACACUAUCAUUAACUGAAUCCAUAGGUUAAUGAGGCGAACCGGGGGAACUGAAACAUCUAAGUACCCCGAGGAAAAGAAAUCAACCGAGAUUCCCCCAGUAGCGGCGAGCGAACGGGGAGCAGCCCAGAGCCUGAAUCAGUGUGUGUGUUAGUGGAAGCGUCUGGAAAGGCGCGCGAUACAGGGUGACAGCCCCGUACACAAAAAUGCACAUGCUGUGAGCUCGAUGAGUAGGGCGGGACACGUGGUAUCCUGUCUGAAUAUGGGGGGACCAUCCUCCAAGGCUAAAUACUCCUGACUGACCGAUAGUGAACCAGUACCGUGAGGGAAAGGCGAAAAGAACCCCGGCGAGGGGAGUGAAAAAGAACCUGAAACCGUGUACGUACAAGCAGUGGGAGCACGCUUAGGCGUGUGACUGCGUACCUUUUGUAUAAUGGGUCAGCGACUUAUAUUCUGUAGCAAGGUUAACCGAAUAGGGGAGCCGAAGGGAAACCGAGUCUUAACUAGGGGCGUUAAGUUGCAGGGUAUAGACCCGAAACCCGGUGAUCUAGCCAUGGGCAGGUUGAAGGUUGGGUAACACUAACUGGAGGACCGAACCGACUAAUGUUGAAAAUUAGCGGAUGACUUGUGGCUGGGGGUGAAAGGCCAAUCAAACCGGGAGAUAGCUGGUUCUCCCCGAAAGCUAUUUAGGUAGCGCCUCGUGAAUUCAUCUCCGGGGGUAGAGCACUGUUUCGGCAAGGGGGUCAUCCCGACUUACCAACCCGAUGCAAACUGCGAAUACCGGAGAAUGUUAUCACGGGAGACACACGGCGGGUGCUAACGUCCGUCGUGAAGAGGGAAACAACCCAGACCGCCAGCUAAGGUCCCAAAGUCAUGGUUAAGUGGGAAACGAUGUGGGAAGGCCCAGACAGCCAGGAUGUUGGCUUAGAAGCAGCCAUCAUUUAAAGAAAGCGUAAUAGCUCACUGGUCGAGUCGGCCUGCGCGGAAGAUGUAACGGGGCUAAACCAUGCACCGAAGCUGCGGCAGCGACACUAUGUGUUGUUGGGUAGGGGAGCGUUCUGUAAGCCUGUGAAGGUGUGCUGUGAGGCAUGCUGGAGGUAUCAGAAGUGCGAAUGCUGACAUAAGUAACGAUAAAGCGGGUGAAAAGCCCGCUCGCCGGAAGACCAAGGGUUCCUGUCCAACGUUAAUCGGGGCAGGGUGAGUCGACCCCUAAGGCGAGGCCGAAAGGCGUAGUCGAUGGGAAACAGGUUAAUAUUCCUGUACUUGGUGUUACUGCGAAGGGGGGACGGAGAAGGCUAUGUUGGCCGGGCGACGGUUGUCCCGGUUUAAGCGUGUAGGCUGGUUUUCCAGGCAAAUCCGGAAAAUCAAGGCUGAGGCGUGAUGACGAGGCACUACGGUGCUGAAGCAACAAAUGCCCUGCUUCCAGGAAAAGCCUCUAAGCAUCAGGUAACAUCAAAUCGUACCCCAAACCGACACAGGUGGUCAGGUAGAGAAUACCAAGGCGCUUGAGAGAACUCGGGUGAAGGAACUAGGCAAAAUGGUGCCGUAACUUCGGGAGAAGGCACGCUGAUAUGUAGGUGAGGUCCCUCGCGGAUGGAGCUGAAAUCAGUCGAAGAUACCAGCUGGCUGCAACUGUUUAUUAAAAACACAGCACUGUGCAAACACGAAAGUGGACGUAUACGGUGUGACGCCUGCCCGGUGCCGGAAGGUUAAUUGAUGGGGUUAGCGCAAGCGAAGCUCUUGAUCGAAGCCCCGGUAAACGGCGGCCGUAACUAUAACGGUCCUAAGGUAGCGAAAUUCCUUGUCGGGUAAGUUCCGACCUGCACGAAUGGCGUAAUGAUGGCCAGGCUGUCUCCACCCGAGACUCAGUGAAAUUGAACUCGCUGUGAAGAUGCAGUGUACCCGCGGCAAGACGGAAAGACCCCGUGAACCUUUACUAUAGCUUGACACUGAACAUUGAGCCUUGAUGUGUAGGAUAGGUGGGAGGCUUAGAAGUGUGGACGCCAGUCUGCAUGGAGCCGACCUUGAAAUACCACCCUUUAAUGUUUGAUGUUCUAACGUUGACCCGUAAUCCGGGUUGCGGACAGUGUCUGGUGGGUAGUUUGACUGGGGCGGUCUCCUCCUAAAGAGUAACGGAGGAGCACGAAGGUUGGCUAAUCCUGGUCGGACAUCAGGAGGUUAGUGCAAUGGCAUAAGCCAGCUUGACUGCGAGCGUGACGGCGCGAGCAGGUGCGAAAGCAGGUCAUAGUGAUCCGGUGGUUCUGAAUGGAAGGGCCAUCGCUCAACGGAUAAAAGGUACUCCGGGGAUAACAGGCUGAUACCGCCCAAGAGUUCAUAUCGACGGCGGUGUUUGGCACCUCGAUGUCGGCUCAUCACAUCCUGGGGCUGAAGUAGGUCCCAAGGGUAUGGCUGUUCGCCAUUUAAAGUGGUACGCGAGCUGGGUUUAGAACGUCGUGAGACAGUUCGGUCCCUAUCUGCCGUGGGCGCUGGAGAACUGAGGGGGGCGUGCUCCUACGUACGAGAGGACCGGAGUGGACGCAUCACUGGUGUUCGGGUUGUCAUGCCAAUGGCACUGCCCGGUAGCUAAAUGCGGAAGAGAUAAGUGCUGAAAGCAUCUAAGCACGAAACUUGCCCCGAGAUGAGUUCUCCCUGACUCCUUGAGAGUCCUGAAGGAACGUUGAAGACGACGACGUUGAUAGGCCGGGUGUGUAAGCGCAGCGAUGCGUUGAGCUAACCGGUACUAAUGAACCGUGAGGCUUAACCUU